rnacentral:tRNA from 1 species
UCCCUGGUGGUCCAGUGGCUAAGACUCUGCACUUCCAAUGCAGGGGCCCCAGGUUCAGUCUUGGUUAGGGAA